rfam:Caenorhabditis brenneri strain PB2801 C_brenneri-6.0.1_Cont34.27, whole genome shotgun sequence.
UAUUCAGGGGUUGAUCGGACCUGUGCUGGUUUCUACCGCGGUGAUAUUUCUGAGUUGUAACUAUCACCGGGUAAAAAUUUGGCACAGGCCCGGUCUUCCCUU